rnacentral:rRNA from 1 species
UACGUAGGGACCAAGCGUUGUUCGGAUUCAUUGGGCGUAAAGGGUGCGUAGGUGGCGUGGUAAGUCGGAUGUGAAAUCCCGGGGCUCAACCCCGGAACUGCAUUCGAUACUGCCAUGCUAGAGUACUGGAGAGGAGAUUGGAAUUUACGGUGUAGCAGUGAAAUGCGUAGAUAUCGUAAGGAAGACCAGUGGCGAAGGCGGAUCUCUGGACAGUUACUGACACUGAGGCACGAAGGCCAGGGGAGCAAACGGG